ACCAGGUAGCAUUCCUCUUUGCUGCCGGCACCGCUUGAGCAAAAGGACGGAAACAGUCCUAGAGUCUACACGAGGCACGUCAGGCUUCCGUAAGGGACAAUUGAUUCGGGCAAAAAAGGGACAAAGGACCCCGACCGAUCAUGCAUCUACAUACAAGACUUCGAGCGACAUAUAUAUGGACGUCCGAUGCUUGCAAGCUAAAUAAGCAAAGCAAGGGCGAACGCCCAUAGGAGCUUCAGGGUCUACGCCGCACAAAACAUUUUGCACGAGAUAGAGUAGGGGCCAUGGGACUAGAGAAUUCCGUCAAAAUAGGUAUAUGCUGCACAGGGGGCCAAGCUAAUCCAGGGCCAAAUAUUUAGCACUCGGACAGAAUGAACAGGUUAACCAGCGUGUCGCGCCAGGGAACCAACCAGCCGAAACAUACC
rnacentral:misc_RNA from 1 species